rnacentral:rRNA from 1 species
UUCCGGUUGAUCCUGCCGGACCUGACUGCUAUCGGAUUGGUACUAAGCCAUGCGAGUCGUUGUAGCAAUACAAGGCGGACGGCUCAGUAACACGUAGUCAACCUAACCUAUGGACGUGGAUAACCUCGGGAAACUGAGAAUAAACCGCGAUAGAUCAUUAUGCCUGGAAUGGCUUAUGGUCCAAACAGUUUACUGCCAUGGGAUGGGACUGCGGCCUAUCAGCUUGUUGGUGAGGUAAUGGCCCACCAAGGCUAUAACAGGUACGGGCUCUGAGAGGAGAAGCCCGGAGAUGGGUACUGAGACACGGACCCAGGCCCUAUGGGGCGCAGCAGGCGAGAAACCUUAGCAAUGUGCGAAAGCACGACUGGGUCAGUCCGAGUGAUUCCUGAUAAAGGAGUCUUUUAUCUGUCCUAAAAGCACAGGUGGAUAAGGGGUGGGCAAGUCUGGUGUCAGCCGCCGCGGUAAUACCAGCACCUCGAGUGGUCAGGACGUUUAUUGGGCCUAAAGCAUCCGUAGCCGGCUUUGCAAGUCUCCGGUUAAAUCCACCUGCUCAACAGAUGGGCUGCUGGAGAUACUACAAAGCUAGGGAGUGGGAGAGGCAGACGGUAUUCAGUGGGUAGGGGUAAAAUCCUCUGAUCCAUCGAGGACCACCAGUGGCGAAGGCGGUCUGCCAGAACACGUUCGACGGUGAGGGAUGAAAGCUGGGGGAGCAAACCGGAUUAGAUACCCGGGUAGUCCCAGCUGUAAACGAUGCAAACUCGGUGAUGCAUUGGCUUAUGGCCAAUGCAGUGCCGCAGGGAAGCCGUUAAGUUUGCCGCCUGGGAAGUACGGACGCAAGUCUGAAACUUAAAGGAUUGGCGGGGGAGCA